rnacentral:rRNA from 1 species
CCUGACGACCAUAGCGGGUUGGUACCACCUGAAUCCAUUUCGAACUCAGAAGUGAAACGGCUCUGCGCCGAUGGUAGUGUGGGGUCUCCCCAUGUGAGAGUAGGACGUUGUCAGGC